AGUCAGAGGAUAAUGCAAGUGUUUAACAGAUGCUUCACUAUUAAAAUAUUUUCCCCCCAAGUCUCAAAUAUUGAAGAAUCUCUAACCAGGGACACCAGUCCCUACGAAGACCUUGGGCGAUUUUGAAGUGCGGGCACCUCGAUUCCCCGAAUCUGUAGUGUGGCUGGUAUCGGUGUUCCCCUGGUUUAACUAGCCUGUUUGAAGGCACAGAUCAUUCAUGGGGAUGUAUAACCGAAACCAGUCCUCUCCACCGCCUGGGGAUCUUCACUUUCGCAGUCUACGACUGCCUGUGACUCCAGAAAGACAAACUGCAGAUUGGCCAAGAUGGGGAAAUUGAGGCAGAGAAGCCAAGACAUGUGCUAAAGGUCAUGCAGGCUAUGAAUGGAGCUGGAAUGUGAACGCAGGCCAUAUGACCCCAGAGCCCAUGUUCUUGAACCCUUAGAAAGACAGCAGCAACACACCUGGUGCAGCAGCUGCUUAGUUGGAGUGGCUGACAAGGUUGGCAGAGGAUCCCGUUCCUCCCGUGGAGUGGCUGCCAUGAUACUGCCUGCACUGAAGCUGCUCCUAUUUCUGAAAUAUGUAUUGUUAUUUUUUUCCCUGCAUGUUGAACAUUAUACUCUUCUGUUCUUUCGCA
rnacentral:lncRNA from 1 species